rnacentral:rRNA from 1 species
CGGGGUGAGUAACGCGUGGAUAACCUGCCUCACACUGGGGGAUAACAGUUAGAAAUGACUGCUAAUACCGCAUGAGCGCACAGUACCGCAUGGUACGGUGUGAAAAACUCCGGUGGUGUGAGAUGGAUCCGCGUCUGAUUAGCCAGUUGGCGGGUAACGGCCCACCAAAGCGACGAUCAGUAGCCGACCUGAGAGGGUGACCGGCCACAUUGGGGCUGAGACACGGCCCAA